UGUGCAUUUUGUUUGUAGGCAAACCCUGGCUUUUUGGGGUCUAACUAUUGAUAUUGUCGGCGUGGAGGAAUGUCACCUCGCCACAGCCUCAGACAUUGGCUCCCGGAUGAGAAAACAGAUCGGACAAGAAACAUUUGAAUUGCACGACUCUCAUUCUUUUUAUUUUGAUUUUAUCCCAGCAUCAAAGAUGUGCAAGCUGAUGUUCCUUCUUAUGUGAUACGUCUCUUGCCUACGAGGAACUUGUCGUCGGUGCACGCAGAGCACUAGUAUCAGUACUCUGUCAAGCCCGAUAUUUGCGAAGAAGAUGAUAUGAGCGGAGGAAAAUAGAAUGAAGAGUGACAGCUGGCUUGGAAUAUCACUGUCAUCCAUGCCUAUCCUCUGUGCCUGAUGAGCAGCUCCAAUCGAUUGCCCAAUGCUUUUGCUUCGGCUAGACAUUGCGUAUUUCACAGCAUCAAUUAUGAACCCGCUGGAUGAAACAACCCUCCAGCCCCCCAGGACCACGUCUGCUAUCUUGCUGCUCUUUGCGGUACUUUUUGAUCAAUGAAAGAUUUCGAUCUCGUGAGCACUACUAUCCGCGCAGUAGCAGUGUUUAACCACGAAGCCAAGAACACCAGAGAUGGCUGGCUUCCCGGGUCACUAAGAAAAUCCUUCUCAAAAGCUGGACAAGAGAGGGUGUGAUUUUCACGGCCACACAGUGGUCAUCAGUGAGCUUCGAAAUCGUGACUCUUUGGACGACCUCUGGCACUACGCGGCGAGGUUGUCCCGUCGUAAUCUUGGAAACAUGCUCCCGCUUGCAGAAGAUAAUCGCGCGCGUUUCUCGGAUUGAUGGAGAUCAGCCACGGCCACCUGGACGCCGUUAUUCCCGAUUCCUUCAGCCACACCAUUCGGCGUCGCUUUUCGGUUUUUCUAAGGCUACCUACGAUGUAACCAACUUCGGCCACACACGAGGAGGCCAGGUGGCAGGCCUCCUAGGAGUAUUUUCUGGGAGUGGUGUGCUGAGAUAGGAGCAAUCCGGCAGUUUUGUUCACUUGAUCUUCCCCCUUGAGCUCCGCCGCUCCUCGGAAAUGGAGCUGAUCAACGAGGCCCAUUCCUGAGCACCUCUGCGUUGGGGAUUUCUCAAACUCGCGGGCCGCGUGUUCGUAGGGUCGUCGCCAAAUCAUUCUCGGAAGCAGAAUUUGGGUGAGACUGCUCGUAUGAAAGAUGUGGUUGAGGUGUGGCGUUUUUCCAUUUAGCAAGAUCCUUGUGUGAAUUUGACUGGAUUGUCUGCAGAGGGCUUGAACCCAACCACCUAACCACUCAACAUACCAGCCUUGAUCCUUUGAAGAUAUUCAGCCAAAGCAAGAGAAAAUGCGCGAUAAUCAAUCAUACAUGACCCAAGUUGGGGCAAUAAUUUAUAAGAGAGAUCUCUCAGAAGCGGAUUGAAUGAUAAAGCCAAAUCAGAGAGGCAAGCUCCGAAUCUUAGAGCAGAAAGAUAUCAACGAUCCCAACAGCCCGUAAUUAAGUGACGAUGUAGAAUCUGAAGGCUGAACCCAGAUGAAUUUAAGCUUGAUGUCUCCUUCUAGGCCAUUUUCUCCUACGCCCCUUUUUCUCUUCUCUCAAACAUCCAGAAACCCAUCACUAAUAUGCGUACCCAAAUAAACACAAUCCU
rnacentral:sRNA from 2 species